AACGAACGCUGGCGGCAGGCCUAACACAUGCAAGUCGAGCGAAGCCUUCGGGCUUAGCGGCGGACGGGUGAGUAACGCGUGGGAACGUGCCCUUUGGUACGGAAUAGCCCCGGGAAACUGGGAGUAAUACCGUAUGUGGCCGAGAGACGAAAGUUUUAUCGCGAAAGGAUCGGCCCGCGUUGGGUAAGGUAGUUGGAGGGGUAAUGGCCUACCAAGCCGACGAUCCAUAGCUGGUUUGAGAGGAUGAUCAGCCACACUGGGACUGAGACACGGCCCAGACUCCUACGGGAGGCAGCAGUGGGGAAUCUUAGACAAUGGGGGAAACCCUGAUCUAGCCAUGCCGCGUGAUCGAUGAAGGCCUUAGGGUUGUAAAGAUCUUUCAGUGGGGAAGAUAAUGACUGUACCCACAGAAGAAGCCCCGGCUAACUCCGUGCCAGCAGCCGCUGAACAC
rnacentral:rRNA from 1 species